CUCCGGGUUGAUCCUGCCGGACCCGACUGCUAUCAGAGUGGGACUAAGCCAUGCGAGUCAACAUAGCAAUAUGUGGCAUACGGCUCAGUAACACGUAGUCAACAUGCCCAGGGGACGUGGAUAACCUCGGGAAACUGAGGAUAAACCGCGAUAAGUCACUACUUCUGGAAUGGGUAAUGACUCAAAUCUACAUGGCCCCUGGAUUGGACUGCGGCCGAUCAGGCUGUUGGUGAGGUAAUGGCCCACCAAACCUGUAACCGGUACGGGCUCUGAGAGGAGGAGCCCGGAGAUGGGCACUGAGACAAGGGCCCAGGCCCUAUGGGGCGCAGCAGGCGCGAAACCUCUGCAAUAGGCGAAAGCCUGACAGGGUUACUCUGAGUGAUUUCCGUUAAGGAGAUCUUUUGGCACCUCUAAAAAUGGUGCAGAAUAAGGGGUGGGCAAGUCUGGUGUCAGCCGCCGCGGUAAUACCAGCACCCCGAGUGGUCGGGACGUUUAUUGGGCCUAAAGCAUCCGUAGCCGGUUCUACAAGUCUUCCGUUAAAUCCACCUGCUUAACAGAUGGGCUGCGGAAGAUACUAUAGAGCUAGGAGGCGGGAGAGGCAAGCGGUACUCGAUGGGUAGGGGUAAAAUCCGUUGAUCCAUUGAAGACCACCAGUGGCGAAGGCGGCUUGCCAGAACGCGCUCGACGGUGAGGGAUGAAAGCUGGGGGAGCAAACCGGAUUAGAUACCCGGGUAGUCCCAGCUGUAAACGAUGCAGACUCGGUGAUGAGUUGGCUUCUUGCCAACUCAGUGCCGCAGGGAAGCCGUUAAGUUUGCCGCCUGGGGAGUACGGUCGCAAGACUGAAACUUAAAGGAUUGGCGGGGGGAGCA
rnacentral:rRNA from 1 species